rnacentral:rRNA from 1 species
UACGAACCGUCCAAACGUUAUUCGGAGUCACUGGGCUUAAAGAGUCCGUAGGCGGCCAAUAGGUGAGGUGUGAAAUCCCCCGGCUUAACCGAGGAAUGGCGCUUCAAACCAACUGGCUAGAGGAAGAUAGAGGAAAGCGGAACUGAUGGUGGAGCGGUGAAAUGCGUUGAUAUCAUCAGGAACACCGGGUGGCGAAAGCGGCUUUCUGGGUCGUUUUCUGACGCCUGGAGGGACGAAAGCCUAGGGGAGCGAACGGGAUUAGAAACCC